AUUGAACGCUGGCGGCAUGCCUUACACAUGCAAGUCGAACGGUAACAGGUCUUCGGACGCUGACGAGUGGCGAACGGGUGAGUAAUGCAUCGGAACGUGCCCAGUCGUGGGGGAUAACUGCUCGAAAGAGCAGCUAAUACCGCAUACGACCUGAGGGUGAAAGCGGGGGACCGUAAGGCCUCGCGCGAUUGGAGCGGCCGAUGUCAGAUUAGCUAGUUGGUGGGGUAAAGGCCUACCAAGGCAACGAUCUGUAGUUGGUCUGAGAGGACGACCAGCCACACUGGGACUGAGACACGGCCCAGACUCCUACGGGAGGCAGCAGUGGGGAAUUUUGGACAAUGGGCGCAAGCCUGAUCCAGCAAUGCCGCGUGCAGGAAGAAGGCCUUCGGGUUGUAAACUGCUUUUGUCAGGGAAGAAAUCUUCUGGGCUAAUACCCCGGGAGGAUGACGGUACCUGAAGAAUAAGCACCGGCUAACUACG
rnacentral:rRNA from 1 species